UAAACUCGGGGGACUGCUGACUAUAACCAUUUCUCAAAACAGAGGAAGGUUGCGGCAAUAACAGGUCUGUGAUGCCCUCAGAUGUCCCGGGCUGCACACGUGCUACAAUGAGUGGCGCAAUGUGCUAAUGUUUAAGGGAUAAGAGUGUGGUCAGUAGAACGUCGGGAUUUCCCCUGACGUCUCCCCCGCACGAUUAUCAGCCUUCCCUUAACAGGGCGGGCAACCUUUUCAAAAUACUGGUUUGAUGUUAAAGUAUUGAGUCGUUUUUUUUGGAUGGUGGUUUGUUAACCAAUACCAUCCGGCAACUGCUCGCGAGUUUGUGGUUCUGGCGACUCAUGGUGGGGACCGACGUUUGUAAUUUUUUGUCGCGUGUUAACUAGGAAUGCCUUGUACUGUCGAUUCACUAAGUUAC
rnacentral:rRNA from 1 species